GAUGAACGCUGGCGGCGUGCCUAAUACAUGCAAGUCGAGCGAACGGACGAGAAGCUUGCUUCUCUGAUGUUAGCGGCGGACGGGUGAGUAACACGUGGAUAACCUACCUAUAAGACUGGGAUAACUUCGGGAAACCGGAGCUAAUACCGGAUAAUAUUUUGAACCGCAUGGUUCAAAAGUAAAAGACGGUCUUGCUGUCACUUAUAGAUGGAUCCGCGCUGCAUUAGCUAGUUGGUAAGGUAACGGCUUACCAAGGCAACGAUGCAUAGCCGACCUGAGAGGGGGAUCGGCCACACUGGAACUGAGACACGGUCCAGACUCCUACGGGAGGCAGCAGUAGGGAAUCUUCCACAAUGGGCGAAAGCCUGACGGAGCAACGCCGCGUGAGUGAUGAAGGUCUUCGGAUCGUAAAACUCUGUUAUUAGGGAAGAACAUAUGUGUAAGUAACUGUGCACAUCUUGACGGUACCUAAUCAGAAAGCCACGGCUAACUACGUG
rnacentral:rRNA from 1 species